UGCGUAGGCGGGCUAAUAAGUCAGUGGUGAAAUCUUCCGGCUCAACCGGGAACCUGCCAUUGAUACUGUUAGUCUUGAGUUCGGUUGAGGUAGGCGGAAUGUGUAAUGUAGCGGUGAAAUGCUUAGAUAUUACACAGAACACCAAUUGCGUAGGCAGCUUACUAGACCGACACUGACGCUGAGGCACGAAAGCGUGGGGAGCGAACAGGAUUAGAUACCCUAGUAGUCC
rnacentral:rRNA from 1 species